rnacentral:rRNA from 1 species
GACGGAGGAUGCAAGCGUUAUCCGGAAUGAUUGGGCGUAAAGCGUCCGCAGGUGGCAGUUCAAGUCUGCUGUCAAAGCCCGGGGCUUAACUUCGGAAAGGCAGUGGAAACUGAACAGCUAGAGUAUGGUAGGGGUAGAGGGAAUUCCCGGUGUAGCGGUGAAAUGCGUAGAUAUCGGGAAGAACACCAGUGGCGAAAGCGCUCUACUGGGCCAUAACUGACACUCAGGGACGAAAGCUAGGGGAGCGAAUGGG